GAGGCACUAAAUGAAUCGCUACAUGAUUUACUUGAUGGAAUCCAAGAAGACUUCUUUGCUGUGGUUGAUUGGGCAGGCAAGAUUGAUCCUAUGUGCUGCAUAUCAAUGCAUGGAAUCACAGAGCGUUAUAUUCCUGGUCAGAAGGCUGAUGCAGCAGGGUUUGUGCGUAUCUUGCUUGAUGACUUGGAAUCAAGAAUUUCAAUGCAGUUCAGCCGUUUUGUGGAGGAGACAUGCCAUCAAAUUGAAAGAAAUGAGCGAAAUGUUAGACAGUUGGGAGUUUUAUCAUUCAUACCAAGAUUUGCCACCCUUGCAACCCGUAUGGAGCAGUACAUUCAAGGACAAUCAAGGGAUUUGGUUGAUCAGGCAUACACAAAGUUUGUCACUAUAAUGUUUGUUACUUUGGACAAAAUUGCUCAAACAGACCUGAAAUAUCAAGAUAUCAUGCUUUUAGAAAACUAUGCAUCAUUUCAAAAUAGUCUGUAUGACUUGGCUAAUGUCGUGC
rnacentral:misc_RNA from 1 species